UACGGGGGGGGCAAGCGUUGUUCGGAAUUACUGGGCGUAAAGGGCGCGUAGGCGGCCUGCUAAGUCGGAUGUGAAAUCCCUCGGCUCAACCGAGGAACUGCGUCCGAUACUGGCAGGCUUGAAUUCGGGAGAGGGAUGCGGAAUUCCAGGUGUAGCGGUGAAAUGCGUAGAUAUCUGGAGGAACACCGGUGGCGAAGGCGGCAUCCUGGACCGAAAUUGACGCUGAGGCGCGAAAGCCAGGGGAGCAAACGGG
rnacentral:rRNA from 1 species